rnacentral:lncRNA from 1 species
AAAUAAAUAGGAAAGAAAAGUGUGUGUGUGUGUAACGUCUGCCCAUGUUUCCUUCCUAGGAACCUCGGACAACAUACUGUCAAGUGAGAAACAGACAACAGACAACUUCAACUCUCACACAUGAGCACACAUUUUUACUUGCUCACCAAACGUAUUGAUCACUCUGCCAAACAGGUAAGCUGCUCCUUCCUUGAGGUGAGCAGAGUCCCUUGGACAGCAUCACUGGAGAGCUGUGAGCAUCCAUAAGGCCCUCCCAUCUUGGCAACAGAGGCAAGGGCUAGACACGCUACCCCCUCCUCUCGAGCGUGAACGGCUACCCUCGAAGUGUGUUGACCUGCCUCCUCCCUGGCCUCUUGAGGACCCUACCUCUUCUGAGAGCCACAGGCCAUUGCACAAUAAACCUUUAUCAAU